rfam:Trichoplax adhaerens isolate Grell Red Sea mitochondrion, complete genome.
GAGAGCCGUGUGAUGGGCAAUCAUCUCGCACGGUUCGGGGGGCACGAUCCAUAGGAUCUAUUUUCUUUUAGGAGGAAUGUGUCCGAAGAAACAUUUUAUGCAUAUUUGACCCCAU